CUUGAGCGUUCUUUUGCGGACGCCUUUCGCGCGUGCGGAUAUGCGGAUGCGGAUGAAUGGAAUAAGCGCUGUGCAUUUCAACUUGUUCUAUUUUUUUGCGGAUGCGGAUACGAACAGAUGGAAUAGUAGCCUAAAUCAGGAAUGGCUACACCUUGCUCGAGUACGGGUUGGCACUACCAGUGUUGUCCAUUUGGUGUUACAGGACAAGUUUGGCUAAAACAAUUAAUACGAUGUUCCUAUGAAGCACCACUCCGUUUUUCGGCGCAUCUGUUUUACCAAGCUUUUCACCCUAGCUGACAUUUGAAAGCUUCCAAUGAAAAUUGAAUAAAAUUUCCCGCCUGUAAGUCAGAAACUGUUCGUAAUAGAAAACGUGCAAUCUACAAACAGUUAUCACAUUAACAUUUAUGGGUAAUUCAAUGGACUUUCUAUUUUUUGAAGUGUAGGGCAUAAAGAGGGAUACACCAGUUCAUUUUGCAUCGAUGUUAACUGCGUGUUCAGUAUGAAACAAUUUUAUCACUAAGAAAAGACUUGAGGGAUGGAACAGUUUCACAUUAAACUCUCGACAUCAAUAUAAUUUGUGUGUGCACCUUUAUAUUGAGGAAAUUGUCAGGGCCAGAGCGUUUUUACUUAAUUAAAGGCUAUGUUCUCAUA